rnacentral:lncRNA from 1 species
AAUUAAAGGCUAUAUUAAAGUCAAUAGCUCUGUCAACUAAUAGUUAUCAAUUGUCACAAUUAUAUUUAGUAAAAAUUAAGAAGUUAAAUUAUUUACUGAAUUACUAUUAGAUUUAGUAAAUUUUAAAGUUAUUUGAGUAAAAUAAUAUAAAUAAAAUAAUUAGAAGUUAAGUAAGUAUAAAUAAAAAAGGGUAAUGCUUUUUUACACUAAUUAUUUAGUUAAUAUAUUUUUCCAUUAAAAAUUUGACAAGGUAAAUUUUGUCUAUUUGCUAAAAUUUGAUUUAUAUGUAUUUUGGCCCCUUAUAAUCGAGUGCUAGUUUC